rnacentral:hammerhead_ribozyme from 1 species
GUUCAACUGACGAGUCCCAAAUAGGACGAAACGCGUGUCCUGCAU